rnacentral:rRNA from 1 species
GAUGAACGCUGGCGGCGUGCCUAAUACAUGCAAGUCGAGCGAACGGACGAGAAGCUUUCUUCUCUGAUGUUAGCGGCGGACGGGUGAGUAACACGUGGAUAACCUACCUAUAAGACUGGGAUAACUUCGGGAAACCGGAGCUAAUACCGGAUAAUAUUUUGAACCGCAUGGUUCAAAAGUGAAAGCCGGUCUUGCUGUCACUUAUAGAUGGAUCCGCGCUGCAUUAGCUAGUUGGUAAGGUAACGGCUUACCAAGGCAACGAUGCAUAGCCGACCUGAGAGGGUGAUCGGCCACACUGGAGCUGAGACACGGUCCAGACUCCUACGGGAGGCAGCAGUAGGGAAUCUUCCGCAAUGGGCGAAAGCCUGACGGAGCAACGCCGCGUGAGUGAUGAAGGUCUUCGGAUCGUAAAACUCUGUUAUUAGGGAAGAACAUAUGUGUAAGUAACUGUGCACAUCUUGACGGUACCUAAUCAGAAAGCCACGGCUAACUACGUG